GAUGAACGCUAGCGAUAGGCUUAACACAUGCAAGUCGAGGGGCAGCAUGGUCUUAGCUUGCUAAGACUGAUGGCGACCGGCGCACGGGUGCGUAACGCGUAUGCAACUUGCCUCACAGAGGGGGAUAACCCGUCGAAAGACGGACUAAUACCGCGUACACUCCAUCUUGGGCAUCCAAGGUAGAGGAAAUGAAAUUCGCUGUGAGAUAGGCAUGCGUCCCAUUAGCUAGUUGGUGAGGUAACGGCUCACCAAGGCGACGAUGGGUAGGGGAACUGAGAGGUUGAACCCCCACACUGGUACUGAGACACGGACCAGACUCCUACGGGAGGCAGCAGUGAGGAAUAUUGGUCAAUGGGCGAGAGCCUGAACCAGCCAAGUCGCGUGAAGGAUGACUGUCUUAUGGAUGGUAAACUUCUUUUAUACGGGAAUAACAAGAGUCACGUGUGACUCCCUGCAUGUACCGUAUGAAUAAGCAGCGGCUAACUCCGUG
rnacentral:rRNA from 1 species